AUACACGUCACGUGACAAUCAAGCCAAGCGUUACACGUGACGUGUCUAUAGCAGAAGAUAAUAACGUUACGUAGAAAUUGAAUUACGUUUAGUGGUAGUGGGAUAGCAUAGAGUCCGCAUCUAACAAUUCUGCAACUUCGAUCGUCGACUUUAGUGUGCAGCGACAGGAGAAAAGAAUGGGUGUCGACGAUGUGUUUGAGCAUAUGUUCAACGGUUCUCUUCGGCGUAUCGCAUUUUCUAUAAUCACCCCAUCGGCCAGCAGCUGCGGCUGGUGUCAGGGGCGAUCCAUUUGUCAAUCUGCAGCAUAACGGUUCGUUACAAUCCGCAUUCGCGCCUUCUUGAUAGUAAGGAUCGUAGUGAGUAUCGGAGAUAUGAAGGACUUUGAAGGUCGGCGCACCUUCUUGGGGGGGCACUGGUGGUUUCACUGGUGGUUUAUUCACCGGCGGGAAUGCCACUUCCCAUUCGUGUAGAGGAUUGUACGUGUCGUCGCAUGCGUCACCAAUAACAAAGCUACAGAUUUGCGCUGGUCCCAUAUCAACUUGUUUGAGUACGUAAAUUACUUCUCCCUAAACAAAAUAGUUAUUCAAUUUCUAGUAUUGAUUUGAUAAAAUUUGAUUUUGAAUAGAAAAUAAUGAUAUAUUUGAUAUGUAUUUGAUUAUUGGAUACUUUACUUUUUUGCUUGUCAUUAAUUUUGAUGGUUUUGAUUAUAAUGUCAUCAGAUUUAUUAUCUUGAAGAACUAUUACUGAUACAUUAAUUAUUAUAUAUAAAACUACUUAUAUUUAUCAGUAAUGGAUCACGUGAAUUGUGUAUAGUAAUGGGUCGAUUCGAUAUGGUUUUUUAAUCAUAAAGAAUUACAAGCUACAAACAGGUAUAAUUCUUUGGUUACUAAAAGAAACCGAAUUGUAAAUAAUAUUUAUUUGAAUGUUUCGAAUUUUUAUAAAUACAGAAUGUAAGAAAAUA